GAGAGUUUGAUCCUGGCUCAGGAUGAACGCUGGCGGCGUGCUUAACACAUGCAAGUCGAACGGGAUCCAGGGGUGCUUGCAUCCUUGGUGAGAGUGGCGAACGGGUGAGUAACACGUGAGUAACCUGUCCUUUUCUUUGGGAUAAGCAUUCGAAAGGGUGUUUAAUACCUUAUGUUCUGUCUGCCUCGCAUGGGGUGGGUGGGAAAGGCUUUGGCUGGAAUUGGGUGGGCUCGCGGUCUAUCAGCUUGUUGGUGGGGUGAUGGCUUACCAAGGCUUUGACGGGUAGCCGGCCUGAGAGGGUGGUCGGUCACAUUGGGACUGAGAUACGGCCCAGACUCCUGCGGGAGGCAGCAGUGGGGGAUAUUGCACAAUGGGCGAAAGCCUGAUGCAGCGACGCCGCGUGGGGGAUGAAGGCCUUCGGGUUGUAAACUUCUUUUGCUCUGAACAAGGCAUGCCUGUGGGGUGUGUUGAGUGUAGGGGUUGAUUAGCGCCGGCUAACUACGUG
rnacentral:rRNA from 1 species